AGAGAGAGAGCGAGAUAGAUUGUUCCACGGCUGUGCCAGCCCACAGUGUACGCAUGUUCAGUGGACUCAAUGGAUGAAGCCCUGGGUGACGGACGCAAACGUCUGGGAAUGACAGCCGCUGUCACCAAGAGUGACAGCUUUCGCUCUCUGUCCCUUGACUAGCCCCAACGUGACGCGUCCCUCGUUCUCCAUACAGUGACACGGAUCCAGUCAGAAUUAUGCCAGAGAUGGAGAAAGUGAGACCACCGGAAAAUAAACGCAGUAGGAAACCCGCACACCCCGUCAAGAGGGAGAUUAACCAAGAGAUGAAGACUUUCGCAGAGAGCACAAUGAACGAGCUUCUGGGCUGGUAUGGCUACGAUAAAGUCGAGCUCAGAGACUCCGAAACCUCAGAGAUCCGCAGCUACCCCAACCGAGACAGACGGCAGCAUGUGUCGGUUCUAAAAGAAAACUCAGGGCCAAAAAUUAAGAGUUUUAACAAUAAGACAAGUCCAUCGGCUGUGGCCAUGAGGAGCGGAGAGAGAGAGUCUCCCAGCGUCCCCUCAUCCUCAUCCUCCUCCCCCAGCUCCUCCAUGACCAGCCCCAAGGAGCACAAGAGUGCCCCUGUCAUCGUUCCACUCAUAAAACCCUCCGCAGUGGAUGAUGUGCAGAAUGUGCAGAUAGUGUGUGUGUGGUGUCAGAAAGAAGGUGUGAAACGCUACUCUCUGUGCAUGGGCUCGGAGCUGAAGAGUUUCUGCAGCGAGAAGUGCUUUGCAGCCUGCCGACGAGCCUACUUCAAACGCAACAAGGCCCGAGAUGAGGACCUGCAUGGGGAGAGGUCCCCACAACAACCCCCCCACCCCGAGGAUUCUCCAAGGCUGGUUCUGAAAAACAGCAGUGCCAGAUCUCUCUCUCCUGUACCCCAGGUGUGUGACUGGUGCAAGCACAUCCGCCACACCAAGGAGUACCUGGACUUUGGCGCAGGAGAGGAGAGACUCCAGUUCUGCAGCACCAAGUGUCUGAACCAGUACAAGAUGGACGUGUUUUACAGGGAGGCCCGAGCUGCUCUCACCAGCUCCAGCCCAGCCAGACCUCCCGCAGAGGGGAGGCCCGAGGGAGGAGCCCAGCAACUCUUCACCCCUGAAUCCUGGAACAGUGGGGGAGGGGACACCCACCAGAGGAGCCUGUCCCCGAAAGGACCCACGCCCAUCCACGGGACGGCAGCGUCGGCAUCCGUGUCCCCCUCAGAGGCCUCAUCCUCCUCCUCCAAGGUCCCUCUCCCGGGAUUCCGGCCCCCGGAGAGACUUCCACAGCCCCCGCCUCCACCCCCGGAGAUGAUGAGCCACCCCGUGCACCCUCCUCGCCCCCACAUGGAGCACCACCCGGCCCAGCCUCUUCCCCAAAUUCCCCUGUCCUUUAUCAGGCCCCCUCUUCAUGCCCAGGGCCUCAAAAGCCCCCUCUCCAACCCCCCCAGACACUCACGACCACCAUCCAGCCCCAUCCACCGUCCCCCACAUUCCCCCCACCUGCAGCCCCCUAUAACCUCCUCCAUGAACCCCCCAAGUCUAGUGCACCCCUACCCUGGAGCAUACUUCCCUGGCCUGCAUUCGCCACCCAUCAACAUAAUGCCCCAUGGGCAUGUACCCAUGCACCCCAUGAUGAACUUCAGCAUCCCCACCUUCGGCCCCCUCCUCCCCCAGCCCACUGUGCUGGUGCCCUACCCCAUCAUCGUACCCCUCCCAAUCCCUAUCCCCAUCCCCAUCCCCAUCCCAGUAGGGUCCAAGGUCGGCCCGGAGGCCCCAGGCCACAGCGGGGUCAUCCAGCCUGUACCGGAGGGGGCGGAGAGGGCCAGCUCCAUGGGUGUCCGGCAGCCCUAUCUGGGGAUACCUUCAGGAGAGAACAGACAGGUUUUCACCAGGGUGGGCCGACCCAACCAGGGGCUCCCUUCGCCUUCAGGCCUGCCCUGGUGGGACACUGACUGGGUGAAGUCCGAAAGGCAGCACCCCGCCUCUACAUCCACACCCCACAGCGGAGAGACUUCCCCUAGCAAACUUUAUAACAUCUCCUCCUGCUCAGGCCCGGGGCCUGAAGGGAUGACAGACCUUCAGCUGGUUCAUCAGUCCCUGCAGCAGCCAGAGAGACAGGUUAUCCAGAGGGUGAGGACCCAGGUGAAGCAGGAGCCCAAUAUCCAGGGAGUGGUGGACUUAUCUGGACCAGGGGAGCCAAAAGCUAGACAGAGCACCAGGGCAGGGCUCUACGACAGCAUCAGAUCCCCCCAGUUCCCUUCACAUGACACACCCAACCAUCCAAACACCAACAGCCCCCCUGGCCCCCACGGGGAGGGCUCUCCCACCCCAUGUACCCUAAGCAGGCCUGACCUGGAGAUCUCACCCCCGGACCCUCCCAGCCUGGACACCCAGCCACAGAGGGCAGUUUUGCCCACGGACCCUACCCUCAACGAGCUAGAAGCAGUCAAAGAAAACAGCUUCUCUGGGACUGUGAGCCAGGUGCGGGCUGACAGCACUGCUGGCUAUUCAGAGGAGAUUGUGGCCUGCAGAGAGGGAGAUGAUCCACAUGUGCCUGAUGAGGACCAUGCUUAUGCCUUGCCUACUGCACCCAGGACAGGGGACACCCCCACCAUGUUGCUCCUUCCCAAGCUCAGGGAUAAGGGGGCCCUGAGGAACCCGGCUAGCGCGGCCAGCAUUGGGCCUGGGGACCUGGAGCCUGCCCUGAAGAGACGCUGCCUUCGCAUCAGAGAUCAGAACAAGUAGAGGAUGGAAAGCUCUAGGGUUACUGCAGAGGAAGCGAGAGGAAAGGAAGAGAGGAGGAGAGCACAGACGGUGGGAGUCACUUUGAAAGGAGAUCACUACAACAAGGUCUGACUGUGACAGUGCUUUGUUUGGACGACGGCAGCCCGGUUCAUCCUCUGUCAGGGCAUGAAGGUUGAUUGAGCCCACUGUGCAAUGCUGGGUACAUGAAGUCCAAAGAAGGCAUACUAUUUCAAAGACAAAUUGUUUUACACUGUACAGUGGUGCCAGAUUCAGCUCCACUCCCUCUAGUGGCCAUCACCAGCACUAACCCAUUAGACAGCCUCCAGAGGGAUCUUGCUCUACCAUCCCUUUGACGACAAGGGUGCCAAUCCAGGAAGCACUUCCACCAGUCAUAUCAUCAAGAAACAAGAAGGACAUCCAGCACAAGUCAGAUGGAACCCAGACAAGCAUAUAUUCUAGGACCAAAACACUAGUUGUCCUCUAUGUUCAUCACUGAGGGCCAUUGUGUAUGUCUCAGUAUCUCUGCCUUCCAGUCACUCUGAAUGUUUGUGCUUCUGGGUAUGUGUGUGAGAGAGAAAGAGAGAAAGCCAGUGUGUUGUGUGUGCAUAUGUGUGACUUUAUGUGGUUGUGUGUGUGUGUGUCUGCAUCUUUUUGUUUGUGUUUGGGUGACCAGACUUCCCAGAUGCGCUCCUCUGUCAAGCAGUAGCAACAGACAAGACUCUGAUCAACCUUGUGUGGUCUUCUCAGAUGGAGACUGAAAAUGAUCUCUUUCCAGGGGAAACGAUUUGUUUUCUCUGCCUGGCUCACACAAAGAGCUAUAUUGUUCCUCCUCUCCACAUAUCCCACGUUGACUCCCCACUCCAGGUUUUGGGUUGCCUGGCCAAUGGGGGUUCAGGCUUCAAGCUUCUCUUUUUUAAGUUUUCUUUUGCAGAGGCCAGGAAUAUAUGUACUCCCUUGCCCCUGCUCCCCUCCCCUCACAUAGACACACACUUUCUCCCCUCAUCUUUCUCCCAAUUCCUUCUCACCUUCUUCCCUGUCCACUCUCACACCCUUACCCUUUCAUGGUGAAGACUACAUCCAGGAUGUUUGGAAGUGGGAAGGAUUCACUUGGGGUAAACAGAGGGAAAAUUAAGUUGUAAAAAGCUAUCAGUAAGAGAGAGACAUUGAGAAAGAGGAGGAGAAAUGGAGUGCAAGACAGAUCCCUGCCACUCCCCAAACAUUCAUGCCAAAACUCUAGGGAGUGGGUGAACCUGUGACAGCAGAGAUGAGAGGUUGUACUGAUUUCCGUUACACAGGCCGUCUGCCUUUGAACAAGAGGGAGCAUAUACAAUCCUUCUCAACUUUCUUGCACCAAACCUUUCAUAUGUAGCCAGUACCCCACCAGAGGGUUUUCAACAACAGGGUAGUAAUUUUACCAUUCAUGGUAUUACUAUGAUUUUGAACCAUCAA